CAUUGAGCGAGGGGCAAUGUGUAGCACUGGUUCGCAAGAAGUGCCAGGAUCAUGUCACACAAAGUGAAUUUGCAAUGACUUUUGCCGAAUUCAUUGGGAAACUAUGGAGCUACGAGAGCACUGAGAGAGUGGGCGCCAGCACAUCAGAGAACAGCGUGCACGGCCGGCUUCAAAACCCGCGUGUGAAAAUACAAACGAGCGAGUAGCCAGGAACACGAACAUGUGUGUUCACUUUAGUGCACAACUGUGUAAUCCAGAUGCGGACUAAAGGGACACAAGGCUAGAAGGUCUCAGCGCGAGCAGUGGCGGAGCGAGUGUUAAAGCCCCACGCAUCAAAGGAUAAACUGCAACUCUCUGUAUGUGUGUGUGUGUACAGCAAUCAAAGUAGACGGCAAUCCACAGUCCAUUGUGUGAUGAUCUUAAACCCACACACUAUCCAGGAGCUCAUGGCAAAUGCAGGCAGUUUGGACGUAAAAGUCGGUGGUGCAAAUCUUUACUAAUUUCCUCAAAUUCAACAAGUUCACUUGUCCAUGACAUUUCAGCCAUUGGAUUUUGAGAAUGAGGAGGAAACAGAACCAUCUGGGUGACUUGGGACCGUGCUUGACAAAUAUAAACCCCAUUACCCUUCACGAUUGGGAUUAAAAGAAACUUUAACUAUAUGUGUUCAGAAAUCUGUUAAAAGUGUCUCCCCAUGGGUGUGUGACGCAGAAGACCCACGAGUAGGGGACUUGGUCUCACGGUCAAGGCUCCACAAAACAGACUCAGUAGCAGACCUCAAAGGCACUGGUAGGUGUUGAUUACCAGAUUUUAUUGCACAAAAACAUGAAAUUGCAAAGGCAAGACCAUGAACUAUGACUCCCCAGAUCUGUUAUAUAAUCUGUGAUAUAGAACCUGGUACAAGAACAUAGAACAUGAGAGAAAACUAAAUUCAUUUUGUAAGCUUUGGUUCAGGGCAAGGAGGAAGGGCAUGGGCAUCAGGAUAUGCAACCGGGAGUCUCAGUACACUGCAAAGAGAGGAGAAUAGAUUCAGUGGUUAAAGACAUGCUAUCCAUCCAUCCAUCCAUCCAUCCAUUCGCUUCCGCUUAUCCUUUUCAGGGUCGCGGGGGGCGCUGGAGCCUAUCCCAGCUGUCAUAGGGCGAAAGGCGGGGUACACCCUGGACAGGUCGCCAGUCUGUCGCAGGGCUAAACACAUAGGGACAGACAACCAUUCACACUCACAUUCACACCUAGUGGCAAUUUGGAUUAUCCAAUUAACCUAUCCCCACAAACUGCAUGUCUUUGGACCGUGGGAGGAAGCCCAUGCUUCAUGCUAUCCAGAGAAGAAAAAUCAAAGCAGAGUCUUUCAGGCUUACACUUUGCAGGUAGAGAACUGGUGUUUGAGGGAGGUCGAGCGGACCAGGUGAGGCAGCCAGACUCCAGAGCAGGGAAUCGGUGGACUGCCAUGACUGUGGC
ensembl:lncRNA